CCUACGGGCGGCUGCAGUGGGGAAUAUUGCACAAUGGGCGCAAGCCUGAUGCAGCCAUGCCGCGUGUGUGAAGAAGGCCUUCGGGUUGUAAAGCACUUUCAGCGGGGAGGAAGGCGUUAAGGUUAAUAACCUUGGCGAUUGACGUUACCCGCAGAAGAAGCACCGGCUAACUCCGUGCCAGCAGCCGCGGUAAUACGGAGGGUGCAAGCGUUAAUCGGAAUUACUGGGCGUAAAGCGCACGCAGGCGGUCUGUCAAGUCGGAUGUGAAAUCCCCGGGCUCAACCUGGGAACUGCAUUCGAAACUGGCAGGCUAGAGUCUUGUAGAGGGGGGUAGAAUUCCAGGUGUAGCGGUGAAAUGCGUAGAGAUCUGGAGGAAUACCGGUGGCGAAGGCGGCCCCCUGGACAAGGACUGACGCUCAGGUGCGAAAGCGUGGGGAGCAAACAGGAUUAGAUACCCCGGUAGUC
rnacentral:rRNA from 1 species